rnacentral:piRNA from 1 species
UGUGAAGUGAGUUACGAUUUA